GAUGAACGCUAGCGGGAGGCCUAACACAUGCAAGCCGAGCGGUAUUGUUUCUUCGGAAAUGAGAGAGCGGCGUACGGGUGCGGAACACGUGUGCAACCUGCCUUUAUCUGGGGGAUAGCCUUUCGAAAGGAAGAUUAAUACUCCAUAAUAUAUUGAACGGCAUCGUUUAAUAUUGAAAGCUACGGCGGAUAGAGAUGGGCACGCGCAAGAUUAGCUAGUUGGUGAGGUAACGGCUCACCAAGGCAAUGAUCUUUAGGGGGCCUGAGAGGGUGAUCCCCCACACUGGUACUGAGACACGGACCAGACUCCUACGGGAGGCAGCAGUGAGGAAUAUUGGUCAAUGGGUGCAAGCCUGAACCAGCCAUCCCGCGUGAAGGACGACUGCCCUAUGGGUUGUAAACUUCUUUUGUAUAGGGAUAAACCUUUCCACGUGUGGAAAGCUGAAGGUACUAUACGAAUAAGCACCGGCUAACUACGUGCCAGCCGCCGCCGUAAGAC
rnacentral:rRNA from 1 species